UCAAACUUGGUCAUUUAGAGGAAGUAAAAGUCGUAACAAGGUUUCCGUAGGUGAACCUGCGGAAGGAUCAUUACUGAAGUAUUUGCAAUGGCUUGUUGCUGCCUCAUAGGGGUGUGCACGUCAUUCAAUCUUCUAAUUACCACCUGUGCACUUUUCAUAGGCUCUGAAUAAAUCUCUCACUGUAACAAGUGGAUCUGAGGGCUUAGCAAUGACUUUUCGGUCGUUCUUGCUUUCAAAUAUAUUCAAGGCUUAUGUUUUUUAUACACCCUUUAUGAUUUAUGAAUGUAUUGACUUACGGAUUUUUAUCUGUAUAAAUGUAAAUACAACUUUCAGCAACGGAUCUCUUGGCUCUCGCAUCGAUGAAGAACGCAGC
rnacentral:misc_RNA from 1 species